rnacentral:tRNA from 1 species
UCCGCGGUAGCUCAAUGGUAGAGCAGGAAACUGUUAAUUUCAAGGUUCGAGGUUCGAAUCCUCGCCGCGGAG